AUUGAACGCUGGCGGCAGGCCUAACACAUGCAAGUCGAACGGUAACAGGAAGCAGCUUGCUGCUUUGCUGACGAGUGGCGGACGGGUGAGUAAUGUCUGGGAAACUGCCCGAUGGAGGGGGAUAACUACUGGAAACGGUAGCUAAUACCGCAUAACGUCGCAAGACCAAAGAGGGGGACCUUAGGGCCUCUUGCCAUCUGAUGUGCCCAGAUGGGAUUAGCUAGUAGGUGGGGUAACGGCUCACCUAGGCGACGAUCCCUAGCUGGUCUGAGAGGAUGACCAGCCACACUGGAACUGAGACACGGUCCAGACUCCUACGGGAGGCAGCAGUGGGGAAUAUUGCACAAUGGGCGCAAGCCUGAUGCAGCCAUGCCGCGUGUAUGAAGAAGGCCUUCGGGUUGUAAAGUACUUUCAGCGGGGAGGAAGGGAGUAAAGUUAAUACCUUUGCUCAUUGACGUUACCCGCAGAAGAAGCACCGGCUAACUCCGUG
rnacentral:rRNA from 1 species